rnacentral:tRNA from 1 species
ACCCCCUUAGUAUGAAGUACAGGUGACUUCCACUCACCAGGCCCCACAGACACGUGGGAGGGGGUA